rnacentral:SRP_RNA from 1 species
GCCGGGCGUGGUGGAGCACGCCUGUAGUCCCAGCUACUCCGGAGGCUGAGGCAGGAGAAUUGCUUGAGUCCAGGCGUUCUGGGGCAGUAGUGCGCUAUGCCUAUCAGGUGUCGGCAGUAAGUUCGGCAUCAAUAUGGUGACCUCCCGGGAUCAGAAGCGGGGGACCACCAGGUUGCCUAAGGAGGGGAUGAACUGGCCCAGGUCGGAAACCGAGCAGGUCAAAACUCGUGUGCUGAUGAAGUGAACUUUUAGUGAAAGGCAACCAGAAGCCCCUAAAAGGCAGAAAA